ACAUUUCUUACCCUCUCACUCACUUCAUAUUUUUCAUCAAUCACACACGAGAGAGAGAGAGAGAGAGAGAGAGAGGGAGAAUUAAGAAAAAAAAAAUCCCAAAUCCUAAGCACUCCUCCUCUCCCGUGCCCCCUCUCACCACUGCAAAGAAGGAGCAACGGAAGGCCUAGUGGUGGAUCGAAUCCACAGUAGCCUUCGUGCACCACAACGUUAUUUCCUCUGCAAGCACCCCUGCGCCAAGUUCCCCUCCAAGGUACUCACUUUUUAUCCCCUAAUUUCUAUAAAUAUUUGAUUUUUUUUUUUUUGUUUGUGCCAUAUUGUUAUGUUUUUGUAGAGGCUGAGAUGAUAUUUCCGGGAUUCUAGAGCUAAUUCUUUUGGUAGAUCGAGCGGCCGAAGUAGCUACUGGAUUUGUUCUUCAAAUAGCUAAAAUCUCUUCUUUUUGUUGUUUAAUUGCUUAUUUUGUUUCAUCUGUCCGUAGAGUAAGUGGCAAAGAAUUUGGUGGAUGCUAUCCAAGACCUAAAUUCGAAUCCUAAUUGGUUCACAUUUCUAGCUAAGUUAUUUUUAAAUGAAAUAAACGAAGCGGAUAACGUGCUACCUGUCUCUUAAACAAAAUAAAAAAAAAAUAAAUAUAGGGAUUUUCAAGACCUCAUAUUUUUCUAUAAAAAAAAAAUAGUAAAAGAGAAUCAAGCACAGAUAUUACUAAUAGAUGAGCUUUCUCAUUCUGAAUUCUAGAAAUAUAAUGCAAUUGAAUAUUAUUGUACUAUCCAAGGUUUUUCCUUAUGGUCGAAAAUAGACAAGCUUGAAGCUUUUUUUAUUUUUUUAUUUUUUUAUUUUUUUAUUUGAGAUAGGUAAUACGAUAUCCGCUUCAUUUAUUUUAUUUAGAAAUAAAUUUAGCUAGAAAUGUGAAUCAAUUAGGAUUCGAACUCGGGUCUCGAAUGCCAACCAUCAAGUCUUUUGCCACUUGCUUUAGGGACGGUGGGUAUCAGAUAAAUUCUCUUUAUAAGGGUGAACUUUAAGUUCCCGUCAUAUGGUGUAGUGCAUUUUUUUUUUUACUGCAUUAUUAUUUGCAGUUUAUUAUUAGGUG
rnacentral:lncRNA from 1 species